rnacentral:rRNA from 1 species
CCUACGGGAGGCAGCAGUGGGGAAUUUUGGACAAUGGGCGAAAGCCUGAUCCAGCCAUGCCGCGUGCAGGAUGAAGGCCUUCGGGUUGUAAACUGCUUUUGUACGGAACGAAAAGCCUCUUUCUAAUAAAGAGGGGUCAUGACGGUACCGUAAGAAUAAGCACCGGCUAACUACGUGCCAGCAGCCGCGGUAAUACGUAGGGUGCGAGCGUUAAUCGGAAUUACUGGGCGUAAAGCGUGCGCAGGCGGUUAUAUAAGACAGUUGUGAAAUCCCCGGGCUCAACCUGGGAACUGCAUCUGUGACUGUAUAGCUAGAGUACGGUAGAGGGGGAUGGAAUUCCGCGUGUAGCAGUGAAAUGCGUAGAUAUGCGGAGGAACACCGAUGGCGAAGGCAAUCCCCUGGACCUGUACUGACGCUCAUGCACGAAAGCGUGGGGAGCAAACAGGAUUAGAUACCCUGGUAGUCCACGCCCUAAACGAUGUCAACUGGUUGUUGGGAAUUCACUUUCUCAGUAACGAAGCUAACGCGUGAAGUUGACCGCCUGGGGAAGUCGGCCGCAAGGUUGAAACUCAAGGAAUUGAGNGNGNGAGNGCGACGACGACGACGAGGGAGGAGG